UGACGUAAUUCGUACUCGUUGUCGUACUCGUAGUCUUUGCUAAAGCUCCCUACUAAUUAUUUGUUCGCUCUACAAUUACAAAAAAUACUUCUUGAUGAUAUCAUUCUCAGUUUGCAUGAAUAAUUGAUCAUAUGCUGCAGAUUAAAAUAUACAGGAUACACUGUUUGCAUAGUGUCAAUGUGUCAAAUGCAUAUGGUAGUAUGCAGAUAAAAAUUUGAUGGAAUUUUAAUGGUUGAAUGCAUUUGGAACAUUUCUUUUUAUAGUCCUCUGUAUCGAUGAUUAAUUUAAAUCUCUGUAUGCAUGUUUUUUUUUUGUAUGAAUCUUCAUGCACGUUAUUUCCUCAAAAAUGAACGCUUAUAUACAAUUCAGUUUCAAUGUAUAAGUGUAUGAAUAUAUCAACUUUCUUGCAGGAUGUAAUUAUCAACUUCAAACGUCAACCUUCGAUUUCUUUUGUCGGAAAACAAAGAGAGCAAACUGGAAUAAAAAUUUUCUCUCUCUCUCUCAUCCACCGAGCUUUAGAAAAUUUUUCGGAAAUUCACUGUUUUGUCAACACAUGAUGAUCACUGUAGCAGCUAUAUGCCAUAGCAUUGUAUGAUAAAGGCAAAUUAUUAACUGCAUUUGUCAUAUUCUUUUUAUAAUCAUUCAACUAAAUCAUUGUAUUUUACUCAACAAACAGCAAGAUAUAGGCGCAUCAAUAUCAGCUUUAGUUGCUUCAAUCGACGUCUAUCCGAAAAAAAGAUGUUUACUGUGUUUGCACAAGCUUAUGCAAACCUAAGAGAACUUUGGAGAACUUGAGAGCAAGUCAAGUGUAACUGUGACCAAAGGUCGAGGCUGUUAUAUCGAUGACACAGACGGAUUGUUUUGUUAUUGACACCAUUGAAACACGCGUGUUUGCUUGUGCGGGAUUUCAAAGCACAAUAACACUCACAACUGAAAUACAAAAUUAGUAUGUAACGCUUCUUUUUGUUAAAUUCUGGUACAGCUGAAUGAAUUGUAAAUAGGAGCAAAACAAUGUUUUCAAAACUACAAAUAAAACUAGAAUACUAUUAAAAAAACGUUUCAACAAAAA